CAGCAGCCACGGUAAUACGUAGGGUGCGAGCGUUAAUCGGAAUUACUGGGCGUAAAGCGUGCGCAGGCGGUUUUGUAAGACAGGCGUGAAAUCCCCGGGCUCAACCUGGGAAUGGCGCUUGUGACUGCAAAGCUAGAGUGCGGCAGAGGGGGAUGGAAUUCCGCGUGUAGCAGUGAAAUGCGUAGAUAUGCGGAGGAACACCGAUGGCGAAGGCAAUCCCCUGGGCCUGCACUGACGCUCAUGCACGAAAGCGUGAGGAGCAAACAGGAUUAGAUACCCCGGUAGUCCCUGUCUCUUAUAC
rnacentral:rRNA from 1 species